rnacentral:rRNA from 1 species
CCUACGGGAGGCAGCAGUGGGGAAUAUUGGGCAAUGGGCGCAAGCCUGACCCAGCAACGCCGCGUGAAGGAAGAAGGCUUUCGGGUUGUAAACUUCUUUUAAGAGGGAAGAGCAGAAGACGGUACGUCUUGAAUAAGCCACGGCUAACUACGUGCCAGCAGCCGCGGUAAUACGUAGGUGGCAAGCGUUGUCCGGAUUUACUGGGUGUAAAGGGCGGGUAGCCGGGCUGCAAAGUCAGAUGUGAAAUUCCGGGGCUCAACCCCGGACCUGCCUUUGAAACUGUUGGUCUUGAGUAUCGGAGAGGCCGGCGGAAUUCCUAGUGUAGCGGUGAAAUGCGUAGAUAUUAGGAGGAACACCAGUGGCGAAGGCGGCCUGCUGGACGACAACUGACGGUGAGGCGCGAACGCGUGGGGAGCAAACAGGAUUAGAUACCCGUGUAGUC